GAUGAACGCUGGCGGCGUGCCUAAUACAUGCAAGUCGAGCGAACAGACGAGAGUGCUUGCACUCUCUGACGUUAGCGGCGGACGGGUGAGUAACACGUGGGUAACCUACCUAUAAGACUGGGAUAACUUCGGGAAACCGGAGCUAAUACCGGAUAAUAUUUAGCUUCGCAUGAAGCAAUAGUGAAAGACGGUUCUGCUGUCACUUAUAGAUGGACCCGCGGUGUAUUAGCUAGUUGGUGAGGUAACGGCUCACCAAGGCAACGAUACAUAGCCGACCUGAGAGGGUGAUCGGCCACACUGGGACUGAGACACGGCCCAGACUCCUACGGGAGGCAGCAGUAGGGAACCUUCCGCAAUGGACGAAAGUCUGACGGAGCAAUGCCGCGUGAGUGAAGAAGGUUUUCGGAUCGUAAAACUCUGUUGUAAGGGAAGAACAAGUACGUUAGUAACUGAACGUACCUUGACGGUACCUUACCAGAAAGCCACGGCUAACUACGUG
rnacentral:rRNA from 1 species